UAGCAAUACUAGGUUGAGCCAGUGGCGAACGGGUGCGUAACACGUGAGUCAUCUGCCUGAAAGUGGGGGAUAGCUCGCCGAAAGGCGAAUUAAUACCGCAUGUGCCCCGAAGCAAUUCGGGGUAAAGCCGGGGCAACCUGGCGCUUUUAGAUGAGCUCGCGGCCUAUCAGCUUGUUGGUAAGGUAACGGCUUAUCAAGGCUUCGACGGGUAGCUGGUCUGAGAGGACGACCAGCCACACUGGAACUGAGACACGGUCCAGACACCUACGGGUGGCAGCAGUCGAGAAUUUUUCUCAAUGGGGGAAACCCUGAAGGAGCGACGCCGCGUGGAGGAUGAAGGCUUUCGGGUUGUAAACUCCUGUCAUUUGGGAACAAUACCUUACGUUAACUGCGUGGAGGUUUGAUAGUACCAGAAGAGGAAGAGACGGCUAACUCUGUGCCAGCAGCCGCGGUAAUACAGAGGUCUCGAGCGUUGUUCGGAUUCAUUGGGCGUAAAGGGCGCGUAGGCUGCGGGGCAAGUCGGGUGUGAAAUCUCAGAGCUCAACUCUGAAACUGCACUCGAUACUGCUUUGCUAGAGGACUGGAGAGGAGAUUGGAAUUCACGGUGUAGCA
rnacentral:rRNA from 1 species